AUUUCCUUCUCACUUGCGAGAAGACAACUAGUUCAAUUUCAUUCUUUUAUGGGAAGAUUGCUAGUACACUUAAUCAUUUUAAAUAAACCUGGUUUAUCUUUAAAUCUGCCUUAGUCAUAUUUAAUCUAUUUCUAUUGUGAUCAUCCUUAUACUUUCUUUUUCAGGGUUUUAUUCUGAAUGAAUAGUUAACAAAUAUCCCCAUAUUAACGUUUCCCUAGUUUAAAGUUUAUUUAUCUAAUUUUGUUUUCAUUAUGGAACCUUCAGUAUUCUUCCUUUCCUCUUGUGAUACUUUAGAACUAGUUGACCUUUAUUAAAUAGAUUGUGAAUAUACACCCUUGACUAAUACUGUUUCGGGAAGUCACUGAAGUUGUUUUGUAGGGUUUUUUCUUUAAAGAAUAUCUCAGAAGAAGGUCAAAGCAUUUCAUUUUGCUCUUGCAACCCCUUAUCCUGCAGAAUGAGGACUGUUUUAGUUGGGAACAGUCAUACAUAUGAGCUAGGCUGUUUAAACUUGAGUAGCACAGGAUGGAAAAAGCAUGGUUAAAACUCUAGUGCUGAAGUAUUUGGGACAGCAGAGUGGCAGCAGAUGCUUUUCACAUCACACUUAAUCGGGCAGAAAACAAAUGCAAAAAAAGUUUCAUUUUCUUUUGUGUACCAAUAAAAGAGAACCAGUGUGCUGGGUUAGAGUGAAACGGACUGAAAAAUAUCCUGAAAACCGAGUUACUGCUUCUUUUUUUUCUUAUAGUAGUUUUACAUGGCCAUCAUGUUAAAUAACAAGGAAAAAUGUAUCCCCGCUGUCUGCUCUUAAGCAGAAGUCUGAAGUUGAAUCACUGAAGACAUUCCUAAGAAUAGUAUAUUUUAGAAACGACUUCUUUGUUUCAUGAUUAUGUAAAGAUACAUGAGAACAUUCUCUAAUAUAAACAAGUCUCUGAAUGAUUGUCUGGAAAGUUGUCAAUAUAAUUUUUCAAAUAUUGCUUAAGGAAAGAGCUCAAAAGAUGUGAUUUCAGUGUAUCUUACAGACAAAUGCUUGUUUGCAUUUACAAGAAAAUAAAUAAUAUAUACCAUAUAUCAAAAUACCUUUCCAAGCUAUACAAACUUUACCCUGUUUUUAACUUCGAAAGCAUCUCUGCCUCUAAAUGUCAGCAAACUUUUGUAGCAUUUAUGCCCUGUUUUCUUCUAUACAGUCCUUAC